rnacentral:rRNA from 1 species
AAUUCGAUUAGUUUGAUCAUGGCUCAGAAUCAACGCUGGCGGCGUGCCUAACACAUGCAAGUCGAACGCGAAAGGGGAGCAAUCCCUGAGUAGAGUGGCAAACGGGUGAGUAACACGUGGGUGACCUGCCUUCGAGUGGGGGAUAACGUUCCGAAAGGAACGCUAAUACCGCAUGACAUCCUGCUUUUGGAAAAGCGGAGAUCAAAGCUGGGGAUCCGCAAGAACCUGGCGCUUGAAGAGGGGCCCGCGCCUGAUUAGCUAGUUGGUGAGGUAACGGCUCACCAAGGCUACGAUCAGUAUCCGGCCUGAGAGGGCGGACGGACACACUGGGACUGAGACACGGCCCAGACUCCUACGGGAGGCAGCAGUGGGGAAUCUUGCGCAAUGGGCGAAAGCCUGACGCAGCAACGCCGCGUGUGGGAUGAAGGCUCUCGGGUUGUAAACCACUUUCAGUAGGGACGAUUGUGACGGUACCUACAGAAGAAGCACCGGCCAACUACGUGCCAGCAGCCGCGGUAAUACGUAGGGUGCAAGCGUUGUCCGGAUUUAUUGGGCGUAAAGAGCUCGUAGGCGGUUCGGUAAGUCGGAAGUCAAAACAACAGGCUCAACCUGUUGUCGCUUUCGAUACUGCCGUGACUGGAGUCUGGUAGGGGAUGACGGAAUUCCUGGUGUAGCGGUGAAAUGCGCAGAUAUCAGGAGGAACACCGAUGGCGAAGGCAGUCAUCUGGGCCAGUACUGACGCUGAGGA